AAUCAACGCUGGCGGCGCGCUUAACACAUGCAAGUCGAGCGAGAAAGUCCCCUUCGGGGGAGUGAGUAAAGCGGCGGACGGGUGAGUAACACGUGGGUUACCUGCCCUUGAGUGGGGAAUAACCUCGGGAAACUGGGGCUAAUACCGCAUACGAUCCUUCGGGAUGAAAGCCUUCGGGCGCUCAAGGAGGGGCCCGCGGCCGAUUAGCUAGUUGGUAGGGUAAUGGCCUACCAAGGCGUCGAUCGGUAGCCGGCCNGAGAGGGCACACGGCCACACUGGCACUGAGACACGGGCCAGACUCCUACGGGAGGCAGCAGUGGGGAAUCUUGGACAAUGGGGGAAACCCUGAUCCAGCGACGCCGCGUGACCGAUGACGCCUCGG
rnacentral:rRNA from 1 species